AUUAUAGUUAUGAAAUAUUAUUCAAGUUAUUUUAUAUCUGGUUCUCUAAAAAAUUUAAUUGGUUGUAGGAUUAUUAGGUCAGUAAGUAGGGAUUAGCUUGUUUAUUGUUUAUAUGCGUUUAUGGGGUGGGUUUGUUUGUGAAGUUGAUAGUGCUUUUUUUUAAGGAGUUAUUAUAAAACAGGUUUUUUAUAUUAUUAUUUUAGGGUUGUGUAAUUAUUAGAGUUAGUUAAUUAAUUUUUUCUUUUGUGAAAUAAUGAUUAUAUUAGUAAUAUUUUAUUUAGUUUUAUGAGUGCAUUUAGAGUGGAUUGAUAAUUAAAAUAAUUUUUAAUUGAGGUAGAUGAAUUCGGCAAGGUUAAUUUUUGACUGUUUAGCAAAAACAUUGUUUUUUGUAGGAGUAAAAAAUAAGUUCUGUCCACUGCUAUUAGGUGAAGGGCUGCAGUAUUUUGACUGUAUGAAGGUAGCAUAAUCAUUAGCUUUUUAAUUGGGGGCUGGUAUGAAGGUGAAACAGGGAUUGUCUGUGUUUGCUUUAUUAGUUGAAUUUUAUUUCUGUGUGAAAAAUCAUAGUUAAAUUAGAGGGACAAGAAGACCCUAAUAAGUUUUAUUUUUUUACUUGAUGAUGAUAUAGGUGUAUAUUUAUUUGAUUGGGGUAGAGGAGUUUAGCUGGGGCGGCUAUUCAUUAAACACGAAUAAUUUUUUAACUCUAUUUG
rnacentral:rRNA from 1 species